rnacentral:lncRNA from 1 species
AUAGCUGUAAAUCCUGUGGUGUUGUGUGUAUAUAUUAUUUCCAGACUGCAGUGCCUGUCCCCAGCUCUUCAGCCCUCCUCCUCCUCCUCCUCCUCCUCCAUCAGACUGUGGGCAGUGCUGGAUAGUGCUGUGCAGUGUGUGUGCUGUAUGCACUCUGCUCUUUGGCAUUCUCAUCACCAUUUGUGUAUCCCACAUCUGCCUAAAGAAAGAUGUUCAUCAAAUAAACGAUGAGAUCUACAGUCAUGGAUCCCAGGUCCAUGGGCUGAGUAAGGAGCACUGCUGCCUGAGCCGUCUGAGGGGUGAGCCCUGCUUCCACACAGAGGUCAUAUAUAGACCUCUGAGGUCAUCACACACCAGCCUCAACCAAUGAGGAGUCACAGAGGACGUCCUGAAGAGGAACACACCUAAAACUUAAUUAAGGGAUUAUAGUUGUUAGGUAAAGUCAAGUGGGGUUUAUUUAGCACAGAAGUCAAAAUGUGAAGUAACGAUAUACAUACCCAUUUAAAAACUAUUACGCAAAUUGUCAAUAAACAUAUGUAUCAUUAAGUCCUAUUUGAGGCA